AGAGCCCUGUCCACAGCAAACUAAAAUGAUGGCUAUGUGGACAUGAGCAGCUUCAACACCUUUAAGAACAAUCAGCAGAGCACAGACCAGGACGCAGAAAGAAUUUUGUAGCUGGAGGAAACUUCAGACACAAGUCCUGUUACAGAAGAGGAAACUGGCACAGAGAGGAAAUGGUGCUUGCAUAAGGUCUCUGGACAGAGUCUUGCCCUGUUGCCCAGGCUGGAGUAUAGUAGUGCAGUGGUGUGAUCAUAGCUCACUGUAACUUCGACCACCUGGGCUCAAACAAUCCUUCUUCCUCUGCCUCCCAAGUAGCUGGGACUACAGCUAUAGAAAGAACUCAACAAAGAAAUCUUGAAGAAUGACUUUUAGCAGCAACAAUAGAAGACAAAACAACAGAACUCACAGCUCUGACAAAGUCUCUCUCUGCUACCUAGGCUGGAAUGCAGUGGUGUGAUCUCUGCCACUGCAACAUUCGCCU
rnacentral:lncRNA from 10 species